rnacentral:lncRNA from 1 species
AGGACUCUCAGCAGCCUUGUGUAGGCACAUUAGUGUCUGUUGGCUUUGAUAAUCUGCUUUUGUUUCAUCUGCUUCUUGUAGAACAUAAGUGGAAUUACAUGUAGAUAUUCCCUAGGAAAAUGGUCCACUUGUGAAGUUCCUGGGAAUUGCCACCCAACUGGUUGCACCGGCUAAUGACACACCUGCUUGAGAGUAGGCUUUAUACAGCUGCAGCUGUAAUGUAUAGAACAGGAAAGCUUCCUGGGCCUGGGUGUCUCUGUAUUUGUCUGGCUGGCAUUACUGCAGGAAGUAGAGAUGGCUAGUUGUGUGAAGCUGAGGUCUUAAUGGCCAUUGGUGUUUUCUUUGUUAAUUAGAAAUUUUCUAGACUCACAAAUGAACCACUCAGAUUUCUUCUGCAUAGCCACAGACACGGUAAGGACCGAGACUGUGGGCCAUGCAGCCCAUGUGAAUGGUGCAAAGAUCCUGCUGGCCCAUGUUCCUGGCACCCUUCCCUGAAUCUCCGGCCUCGUGGGGCCAGUGUGUAAACAAGGAACUCAGAAAAAGGAAAGCAUCACCAGCGAUAGCGUUCUGACUCCAGCUCACUCUGCUCUCGCCGAUGUAUUAAGCAGCUUGGGCUGGUCUGAAGUCAUCCUUUCUCAUCUGAUGUUGACUUGUCUCUCUGCCUCAGAGCUCAGCUGAUAAGGCUGGUUUUGCCUGCUUGCAAGCGAGAGUGUGCUGGCCUGAAAGAGCCUUGAUGGUCUGGAGAAGGUGCAGAAGGUCCUCCAAGGAGCUGUCAAGACUUGGAUGGGGCAAAGCAGAGACUUUCCUUGACUUUUCUCAGGCACAUGGCUGUAGAGAAAGGAAGAUAAUCAAGUGAUAUUUUGUUGACAAGACAUUUUCAUCUUUGGGCAUUCACUACAAAGCACCAAUAUCAAUUCUGAGAAGAAUAAGGACAGUCCAAGUUAGGAGCAGGGCUGAACUAGGGAAGGAAGGGGCAUCAGGCAGGGUUGAGCUAGAUAAGGGACCUGUCAGGACUGUGGCCUGGAUUUUGUACUCUGCUGUUGUCUUGAGUGUGUUUGGAAUGCUAUAGAGGACAAGCAGAUAACUCUCAGGAUCAGAGGUUUCAUGGGGCAGAGGGUAAGGAUGAUAUUUUCACAAGGUGACCCGACCUUGAACUGAGACUCUGACAUCACCUUGGCAGGAGCCAGUUAAUGAGCCAGGCAGGUGGUUUGGGAGCUGACUUUCCUGGGCCUGACAGGAUAUGCUUUUGAC